GGUGAACGCUGGCGGCAUGCCUUACACAUGCAAGUCGAACGGCAGCACGGGAGCAAUCCUGGUGGCGAGUGGCGAACGGGUGAGUAAAGUAUCGGAACGUGCCCAGUCGUGGGGGAUAACGUAGCGAAAGUUACGCUAAUACCGCAUACGAUCUAUGGAUGAAAGCGGGGGAUCGCAAGACCUCGCGCGAUUGGAGCGGCCGAUAUCAGAUUAGGUAGUUGGUGGGGUAAAGGCUCACCAAGCCGACGAUCUGUAGCUGGUCUGAGAGGACGACCAGCCACACGGGGACUGAGACACGGCCCAGACUCCUACGGGAGGCAGCAGUGGGGAAUUUUGGACAAUGGGCGAAAGCCUGAUCCAGCCAUGCCGCGUGCAGGAUGAAGGCCUUCGGGUUGUAAACUGCUUUUGUACGGAACGAAAAGGUUUGGCCUAAUAAGCUGAGCUCAUGACGGUACCGUAAGAAUAAGCACCGGCUAACUACGUGCCAGCCGCCGCGGUAA
rnacentral:rRNA from 1 species